rnacentral:rRNA from 1 species
UCUGGUAGUUAUGGCGAGAAGGUCACACCCGUUCCCAUCCCGAACACGGUAGUUAAGCUUCUCUGCGCCAAUAGACGACGCGAGCUUCCCCCAGCU